rnacentral:rRNA from 1 species
CGGGCCUUGUACACACCGCCCGUCACACCCCGAAAAUGGGGAACAGAUGAAGCCGGUGGCCUAACCGCAAGGGAGGAGCCGUCGAGUCUGGGUUCAUGAUUGGGGUG